CAAAAAGAGACUUGGCUCGUUCGAUACUGCCAAUUCCUUUGGUGCGGAUUUUGAGUUGUUAAGAACCCUUGAUUGAUGCAAAUCUUAAUUUUGUUUUAUGUGGAGCAUCAGUGUUGGGGAUAUCUUGUUAAACAUCCAGUUCCCCUGACAUGCAUGAACUGUUCAGUAUAGGAUGCCCAUCUUAUGCAGCUAUGUUUGCUUCGUUUACAUUGUUUUCUAUCAUGUGUUAUGUUUGCAACAUUUCCCUAUGCUCUGAUUGAUAAUAUGUAUUUUGAUGUUUUUGCCUAAUUUGUGUGUGCCUUUGUUUUGUUGGAACUUGUCAAAUCUUGGUCAGAAGGGAAUGUUAUCUCCUGAGAUUGGACAACUUACUAAUAUGCAUAUUCUGUAAGCAUAUUCUAUAGUUCCUCUGGUGACGUGUUUUUCUGAACACUUUGGUUUUGACAUAACAUGUUUCACGCUUUCAACCAUAAGAUAGUAUUUGGUAUUUCUGAAACUACCAACUGAAUAACAGUCAUUUUGCACUUCGAUAUAGGCUAUCAUGUUGAGCACAGUAGUAAAGCUGAAACUUCGUAGUGUGUAUGUUUUCCUGAUGAGGCUUAUGGCCUCAGCUUUUGAGCUGUCAAUUAACGAACAUCAGUUAACUUGGUGUAUGUUCUUUCUUCGAGUGUAGUUGGAUACAAGACAGGUGUUUCUUCUUGGAUCUAGGGGAGAAUACAAUUUUGCAUGGAUCAAAUUCAAGUACAUGAUUAUUUGACGUGUACUGCACAGGAACUUGUUCUAUGGUAUUAUCCCUAGAGAGAUGGGAGAUUUACGAGAGCUGAAGGUGUUGGAUCUGGGGUACAAUAACUUCAACGGAUCAAUUCCAUCAGAGCUAAUAAACAUUUUAUCCCUGGAAUUUAUCUUUCUUAAAAGAAACAUACUUUAUGGUGAUUUACCUCUUGAACUAAAUGAGCUCAUCAGUCUGUGUGAGUCUCAGGUUCGCCACGGCAGGACUUUCUCAAAUAGGAUGCCCGCUGCAAGGUUUGUCUAAGUUUUCUUCUACUUGCAUAUCUGAGAGUUAAACUCGUGAUUAUGCAAGGCUUGAGUUAAAUUUUCAAAUCAAGCAAGGAUUUGAGCAAGCUUGAUUUUGGUUAAAAAAACCCACCCUGUUCCUGUAAUCACAUGUAUGUUAAUGAUAUCUGAAAUAUUUGAGAAUUAUCUAUUUCGACUCAAGAAAUAUCAGACUUCUUUUAGGAACAUUUCCUCCACAAAAUGGUAAAUUAUAUCCGAGUCGGCAUCCCUGAAACCCAGCCCAAAUCCCCACAUAUAACCUCACUCCGGACGAACCCUAGACCCAAAUCUCUAGACAAUGCCAUGUUGAAAGAUAGGCUUGCGAAGAUUCGGCUCAAGAAUUCCUUAGGGUACUUCUGUCUUUAUCAUAUUUGUUCUCACACCUUGGGCAUUGUGUUUGCCCGCCGCAAUGCACGCGUCGACCCGCAGUCCUCAUAUUAAGUGAACCAGAAGCGGUACAUGCGAGAGAAAAGAAAAACAAACCCAACCACCAGCACGACCCUUCCUCUCGAUCCCAUCUGGACCUUUAGUAUUCUCGGGAUAUAUCUGAUUAUGAUGAUGUUCUGUAUUGCUCUCGAGCCGAUAACUUUUUGGACUGCUCGAUGUUGAUAACCAAUGAGACUGCUUUUUUGGUUGUUGGCUGGAGCCUGGAGCUAUCACUAUGACUGAAAUUUUCUUUUCACCAAAGUAAAUUUAUAUGGUCAUCAAAAACCAACGACUUGUCAACACUUGUCAGCAGUUUGCAAUUUGUAUUACAGUAUGCGUAAGCCAAUGGUCAGCCAUUGUUGUUUUAGUUAGGAAAUGUAGAAAACGUGUUCAUGAUUUAUGUAGAUUGCUCAGUCCCUUCAAACAGUAUUUGAUCUUGAGCGGACAAUCUAACUAUAUGUUUCCUUAUAGAAAAUUGACUAUAUGUUCCAUGAAUUGACUGAUUAGUUUGGCCCGAUCAGAUUAAAGUAGGUCUUGAUUUGAAGGUCCAGUUAGGGAGCUGGUGCUGGUUUGCUUGUUGUAAUACUAACUAUGCUAUUUAGACCGAGACAUGUCGUCUUUCUCAUUUCUCGACAUUUUCCUUUGCUGCCAAGUUUUUUCAUUCUAGGUUGUGGAAAAACGGAUGUAGCAUUCCUUCUACAAGUUGUCAUGAGCUGGGACAUAGAAGAAGAGAACCGACGAGAAGUUGCACAGCGGUUCGCUCCGGUGUCGCUGCCAAUGGCGUUGCGCAAAGUGUAGAUUGCAGGCUAGAUGCGUACAAGUUCGUCCUACGUCCACGAUGUCGAAGCAUAGAAAAUCAAGUUAAUUAGAUAGUAUAUCUGGUUAUGAAAGUUGUCUUUUGUGUAUGCAGUUUUGCCAUUAUUUUGUAAAAGCUUUUAGUUUUUGAUAAUGUAAUUGUCUUACUAAUAACACUUUUAAUCAAUUC